rnacentral:siRNA from 1 species
UGACAUCGAUAGCUAUUUCAGUAG